AUUGAACGCUGGCGGCAGGCCUAACACAUGCAAGUCGAGCGGCAGCGGGAAAGUAGCUUGCUACUUUUGCCGGCGAGCGGCGGACGGGUGAGUAAUGCCUGGGAAAUUGCCCAGUCGAGGGGGAUAACAGUUGGAAACGACUGCUAAUACCGCAUACGCCCUACGGGGGAAAGCAGGGGACCUUCGGGCCUUGCGCGCUUGGAUAUGCCCAGGUGGGAUUAGCUAGUUGGUGAGGUAAUGGCUCACCAAGGCGACGAUCCCUAGCUGGUCUGAGAGGAUGAUCAGCCACACUGGAACUGGGACACGGUCCAGACUCCUACGGGAGGCAGCAGUGGGGAAUAUUGCACAAUGGGGGAAACCCUGAUGCAGCCACGCCGCGUGUGUGAAGAAGGCCUUCGGGUUGUAAAGCACUUUCAGCGAGGAGGAAAGGUUGAUGCCUAAUACGCAUCAACUGUGACGUUACUCGCAGAAGAAGCACCGGCUAACUCCGCGCCAGCCGCCGCUGUAA
rnacentral:rRNA from 1 species